rnacentral:rRNA from 1 species
UACAGAGGGUGCAAGCGUUAAUCGGAAUUACUGGGCGUAAAGCGCACGCAGGCGGCUUUGCAAGACAGAUGUGAAAUCCCCGGGCUCAACCUGGGAACUGCAUUUGUGACUGCGAGGCUAGAGUACGGCAGAGGGGGAUGGAAUUCCGCGUGUAGCAGUGAAAUGCGUAGAUAUGCGGAGGAACACCAAUGGCGAAGGCAAUCCCCUGGGCCUGUACUGACGCUCAUGCACGAAAGCGUGGGGAGCAAACAGG